AGACAGAGGUGGCAAGCGUUGUUCGGAUUUACUGGGCUUAAAGGGCGUGUAGGCGUCCCGAUCAGUCAGAUGUGGAAGCUCUGGGCUCAACCCAGGAAUUGCAUUUGAUACUGUCGGGAUUGAGUCGUGCAUGGGAGGGCGGAAUUCCUGGUGUAGCGGUGAAAUGCGUAGAUAUCAGGAGGAAGGCCGGUGGCGAAGGUGGCCCUCUGGGCAAUGACUGACGCUGAGGCGCGAAAGCGUGGGGAGCAAACAGGAUUAGAAACCCGAGUAGUCC
rnacentral:rRNA from 1 species